rnacentral:sRNA from 1 species
UUUUAAUGGUUCGUUCGUGCGCACAUGUGUGGCGCGGUGUCCUUUCUUUUCGUAUUUCACGUUUUAGGAUUUAAAGAUUUUUGCUCUUCUCUUGACAUUAUGAUAUUAAUUUAGCGUUGUUGUGUAGCCGGCUACAUAGUCAAGUCGUUGCGCUGUACAUCCCACCCGCACGCUUCCCAUCUCAUCCCAUGGGUUUUAUUUUGCCUGGGUUCGAUGGGAUAGGAAAUUUUUAUUUUUCUUUCUUUCUUUCUUUUCGGGGGGAGUUUUAAACUGGCCUAGGCCCCGUCAUACCUAUAUAGAUCUAUACUCAUCGCCCUUUUAGAUUAUCGCCAUGGAAAAACAUUAUCCAUUCUCACAAAAUAGGAACUCGAGAGUGGAGAAGAAAAUAUAUACAUGUCUCCUCUAUUAGUUGUCAAAGAGAUGGAACGUCCUGAAAUUUUCCAUAACUCGAUCUAGCAGCUAUAUAUAUAUAUAUAUAUAUAUAUAACGUAUAAACCUAAGAGCGCCGAUAAAAAGUAGAGGCAAAAGGAAAAAAAAAAAAGAUAAAAAAAAGAAAAGAUUACAAACCGUUAAGGUGUAUAUCAAGAGACAAUACAAACGAAGAAUCGGGUCAAGAGAAAGUGUAAAAAGCGUGCUUAUACCACCCGAA